GGUAGCCAAUCAAAAGGCAGUGCCCCACGCCUCGCGAUAAGCCUUCGGGGCGUGCAGGGAACUGUUGUCGCCAUGGUGACCAGUAUUACAGCCCGCCCUCAUUGACGACUCUGAUUUGUGACGUAUGUGCACGGACAGCGCUUGCGUUAACCCUGCCCUCGCUACUGGUUGGAGCCUAAGACUGACCGCUGCAGAAACCAAUCCAUGCUGGAAAAGGAAACGGGCGGCAGUAGGCGACACGCAAAGGAAGCUCCGCAGAGCAGCUUGGGAUCUUGGAUAGAAGAGGAAAUGGAAGAAAGACAUACAAGAGGUCCCUGUUCCAUAGGAAGAUGAGAGCGUCACCCAGUGAAUGUUUCCCCAGGCUGGCCCUGGAACAGUAAUGAGGACAUUUCUUGUUCCGGUGUGCAGCUACAACAGAGAGAACCUUGGAGAAUGCUCUGGAUGCAGACGAGAGGUUGAAUGGGAGCACUCUGUACUGACAAUGGUCCUGCCCAAAGGCCCAGGUUGUUGCAAAGGGAGCGUACCAUAUCGAGGUUUCUCCGCACCUGUACCAGAGACCUGCCCUUGAUGAGCCAGUCAUCAAGGUACGGAAAGAUCUGGACCCCCCCGGUGUCUGAGAUCCCUGAUGUGCUUGCCAAGGCCUCGAUGGUGGUGGAGGCCGGAAUGGCUUUCUGGCAGACUGCAGGGUAUGCAUGCCCAAUGAGCAAAACGUAGCUCUAGUGUCCUUCAACCUGUGUAGCCUGGCAUCCGUUUGAUUGGAGAAGAGCCCAACUCUGUCAAAGGGAAGGUCCUGAAUUGAGGCCUUCAUCUCCUGGUAAAGGCCCGCUGCUUGGAGCAGGAGCUUCGUCGCAUAACCACCGCCAAUGCGACCGCCCUCAUUGCUGAGUCCCAAGCCAUUUGCAGGGAACAUAUGGCUGCCACGGUCCCUUCCUCUACCAGCUUUCCAAAUUCAGGAUGGGGUCUCCAGAAGAGGUAUGGAUGGUAAGAGGAAGAGAUUGGCUGUGCUAUCUCCUAAUUCACUGCAGAGGGAGACAAACCUGGCUAAAAGGUCUUGUGGAGAAAAAUGGCACUUGUUAACGUGGGUACCAAAUUAGAGCUUGUGUCAGGGAAAGAAGCCAAUGUGAAAUGCUCUGUUAAUCUAUAAAACAAAUAAGGCCUGGGCCGCCUCAAAUGUUCCCACAUGACUACAUCAAAACGCCUCAGAGUGACUUGAAGAAAUGAUCUCUAAUGGUGAGAGGAUAUUGCAAUUUCUACCCAAUCAGUCCAUGGCAUGUGUACAGAAAUUAUCAGCACAGGAGCUCAAUGUGAUGCAGACAGCAUUUUUUGAAAUAUAAAUAUUUAUAUGUUGGAGCUAAACAGACUACUAAUUUAUUUCACAAAUACAUCUCACUUAGUCACCAAAUAUCAAUCUCUCAUCAUUAACCUGGAGUGGACUUUGACUGGCAACCUAGGCUCUGUAUUCCAUUACCAGUCCCCUAAUCUAUGAAACAGUGAUAUUUUGGCUAUUUUCAACAAUUUUAGGCUGAGUUCAUCCUGAACUCAACAUUAACUUCCAUAGUUUUGGAAGGUUUACAUGAGACUGAAACAGUCCACAAACACGUAUUUGGGGCAUUUGUAAAUGACAAACAUUUAUUAAAGGUGUGUAGUGAAAUUUUCAGUGUAUAAGGUAUUAAGAAGCAUAAAGAUUCAAAUGGGGCUUCUAUAUCCUGUAAGUCCUUCUGAAAAUCUUCCCUGUAUUUAGGUAGACAAACUUUUUAAAAUUAUAUAUCAUUCAAUGAAUUUUAAGAGAACAUUUUUGCUCAAUGAGGUAUAUCUUUUCAGUCUACGUAGUUGCAUGCCUGGAAAGGUUGGGGGCAAAAUUUACACUGGACAAUUAGAAAGGUAUUUAUUUACAAUUUAUUUCGAAGAAAAUUUUUAUGAAAACAAACUAAUUAAAAAUUCAGUGGUACUAGACUAUUUUAUGAUAGUUGCAAUUGCAAAACUGGUAAGAGUUUGCUAAAAUGGAAAAACACUAGUUUUCAUUCUCCUGAUAACCUUGCUGGUCACAAAUUCCCCACUUUAUUUCUUUCUUGCUUAGUUUAAUGUUUACCGUAUUCUAAGUCUAUGGCUCAAAAUAUUUGACCUUGCCACAACAACAUUACCACAACAAACAGAAAAUUCCUGUUACCAUUAAGCAUCAAAUACAUUUAUUGUUGUGUAAUUCACCAGACUUACUCCUCAGUCUGGCUUUGCCUUGCAUGUAUUUGUUUUCAAAAGGAAAACAUUAUAUUUGAAAUUUAUAAUUGAGAAUUCUUUUUAAAUGCUUCCUUUACUGAAAAUUGACAGUUGGGGUUUGUCUUCAAUAGACUUUUUACCUUGAAUUAAUUUAUUACCAAUUAAUUCAAAGUAACUAACAUGUUUGUAAAGGCUAGCAUGGAUAUUCCUGAAAUAUUUUUUCCCAGAACACAAGUAUUUAAUCCUUAUCCUAGGACUCAGCUCUUAAAACACUGAAAACAAAUCUGCAGUCUGUAGUUUUUAAAGGAACAUUUUAAACAAAAUUAAAAAUCAACACAAUUUAAGUUUACAGUGUGCCUUCAACUAAUUACCCCAACUUCCUGGCUGGGGCUUAGGUUGAGCACAACACAACAAUCAAAUUUUAUUUGAUGACAAUUGUCAUGUCAAAUCACCUUUACAUUUAUUAUUCUGACUCUGGAUAUAUUGUGGUUUCAUUUUUACAUUCAACUGCAAAAUAUAGAUAUUCUACCCCCAAAAUCAAACUCUUUAAGAACCACAGGUACAAUACAAUGUCUUCCAGCUUAAAAGUUUUGCAUUAUAAUCUUACAAGGAAAGAAAGGCUAUUAAGAGAUGACAUCAUCCUUAGAACUGUCUGAACUUUUUGCUGACCAACAACACUGUAAAAUUUCUUUUCACUGCACUACAUCUUUAUGUGCAUUCAUUAGAGAUCUCCAGUUUAACAUGUAUAAGACACCAUUGAUUACAGUUGCAAUUAAACCGAGCUAGCUUUUAUUUACAAUAUAGGAAAUAAAGCCCAAGUAAAGGAUUAUUGUAGCUUGUCCAAUGUUAAUGGGAGCAGCAUGCAUUUUUAUUGUAAACUUCCACACUCCUAUCCUAUGAUUAAAUGAAUACAAAACAUCCUUUUCACAGGAAAGUGCAUGCUCAGCAAUCUGUUCCCUGUGACUAGCAGAUAUGGUCAAGUUGAUAUCAGGUUACUAUUGAUAAAUUUAAAAUGUUUAAAAAAUUUUAAACUUAUGUUUAGUUUUUUUAGGACAUGGGAUGUUUAAAUAUGGUGUGACACAUGACUGUGGUCCAAGCUUCUUAUAAAAACAAGAUUUCUUUGUCUCUGUGAAGAUAAACAAUUCCUCCCCACCGCCAAAAAAGUAAAGAAUCAACUUUUAGCCUUGCUAUCUGUGUACCGAAGAUAACAUCUCUCUCUCUCUCUCUCUCUCUCUCUCAAAGGGACUGAUUUUUAUUUUUUUUUCCCCUGUCCACACCAUUAAGGAAAAAAAAGAGUUAUAACAUUAGGCCAUAAACAUAUUUAAAGAGGGUUAUUUUUGUAGUGUAAAUGGGACAGACUCCAUGUUCGGAAAGAAUGGAAACAGCAAAGUCCUCCUGAGGUCAAGCCUUAAAAGAACAAUCUUCAGAACAAACAGAAUUAAGACCUUAUACAUGCACACUUAUGAAGAAGGGUUAAAGUAGAGCUGUUAAACUGUAAUCUGAGUGACAAUUUUAAAAAACAAGCGUUUUCUGUACCACUGAAAUAAAAAUCCUUUAUAAAAAUGGGAUACUUAGAAUGUCUAACAAAGCAGCAUUCUGCACACACAGCAAUUAUGCAGAAUCUUUUGAAAUCAAUAUUGGUGCCUAUGACAUCUAUAAUCUUUCAUAUAACAUGAUUAAAUAAAACAGAAAAAUAGCCUGUAUACAUUGUUAAUUUUUUUUUCAAGUAAUGUUAUGUACAUUUUAUUGCCAGUAUAUGCACAAUGGUAAGCAAAGAACUAUAAAUACACAAUGUAGUUAAACAGUAGAAAACAAAGAGAAUGUUGCACACAAGGGAGGAGAGAAAGGGGAGACACUACUUUCCUGAUGCAGCUGCUAAAAAAAAGGGCCAGUGACAAAAAAUGAGAAUUUUCCUUUUUUAAAGUUUUUACAUACAUUUCUACAUUUCCCCCUGCCCAAAGAAAACAAAUCUCUGCAACAACAGUAAACUGCUUCUUUAAUAACCAUGUCUCAACUUUCUCUGUCAGUUUCACUUCUGAUUAAGUGAAAAUGACCUCUCAAAGAAUGUAAUUGCAAGUAUCCAGCUCCACUUUUAUUCAGUUUUGUCUUUCAAGGUAACUAGCAAUUGAAGUACACUAGCAGUUCCUUAUAUUUGGCUACAUGAUAAAGAACAGGGCUUUGAAUACACAGUAGCAAAUGGUGAUUUGAAAAAAUAAUUAAAAAAAGAUUUCUAUAGACAGUUUUUCCACAAGACACUAUGGGCAGCAGCUCAGUCAAAAGUAAUCACCCUGAAGAAGUAGAGAGAAUUUUAGUCUAGCACAGAACAUCAUCCUUGGCACUGCUAUUUUCUCUCUUACCAGGACACAUUUCCUAAAACUAGACCAUACCAUAGUAAAAAAAACCCAGGUUCCAUCAUUCCCGGACAGGGUGCUGUUUUACCCCAUCUCUCAGCUAAGUAGCUUGUUGAUUACAUCUGAGAAACAGAAGACAUUCAGGGACAUAUAUUUACUUGAUUUUUGUUCUCUCUUUCCGUUAUCAUAAAUACAAAUUAUUAUUAACAAUAAACUAAAAUUUGAAAAAUAAAACAACAACUUGAAAACAUUUUCACGCCUUAAUCCAGAUGGGUCUUGAUGAUGCUAUUCAAGAAAACCAUGCAAAUAAUUUGGUGCAUCUUUCCCAAUUCAUCCAAAACAUUUUUUUUGAAAAAGUGGCAAGAUUCAUAGUGCUUGUGAUUCUCCCCCAACCCUAAAAAUUCAGUGCAGAAUGUUGUAGUGCUUUUAAAAAGAUAACCAAUGAACUGCACUGUUGUCAUAUACCCCCCCAUGUGAGUUACAAUACAACACUACUGGUUCCAGCAACUAGGUUGAGAGGAAACAUUCUAGUGAUAAAGAUAAAUACAUACUGAGCAUGCUUGGGCAGAGCACUCCACUCUGAGGCAUCCUGCUCAAAGAAAGGAUGGUGACAAGGAUGCUUCAGGUCCAUCAAGUAAUUGUUUUCUCUGCUGCUAGAAAGCAGGUUGUCACACUAUCACCAGUUCUGCCACACUGGACCCUGAACUGGGCUGUCUUCCACAUUAGGAUGUGCUAGCUGUACUAGUCCUCUAUUGCUCACACUAAAUUCUUAUUUAUGGGACAAACAUACAACCAAUGGACAAUAUCACUUUCAAAGAACUGGAUCAAUCCAGUUUUUUUAUGGGCAUAAUUCUCAUAUUCCAGAAUAUCCCAAACAAGAUGCAAAUAUGAUGAUGUACCACCAACACAGUGACUGAGUCUAGUUGCAGUUCAGACUAGUCCUGCCUUGUUUCAUAUAAUUUCUUCUUUCUAGGAAAGGAUAGGAUAUUUAAACAAAACUGCAAUAAAAAUGGCAUGUUAUUCUGCAGCCAAAAAUAAAAAAGCAAAACAGUUUAGAUUUUAACUUUUAAAGCUUAAAGCAUUCCUGUUUAAUUAGCAUUUUUAAAAAUUCUUUUUAAAUACAGUCAUAACACUGGUAAAAGUUAAUGGGAAGACACACAGAGGAGUGCGAACAGGAAAAGUGAUGGGUUAGAUUUUUAAAAUUUAUUGUGUUUUGACCAGCUGAUAUUAAUACUGUUUUCUCUUUGGAUUUGAAUAAUUCUACUGCAACAGUUGCAUGCAGGCUGAGGGGUAGCCAUCAGUUUAAAAAAAACAAAACAAAAAAAAAAACCCAAAACAAAACAAAAAACAAACUGGGAAGGGGG